AGCGAACGCUGGCGGCAGGCCUAACACAUGCAAGUCGAACGAAGUCUUCGGACUUAGUGGCGGACGGGUGAGUAACACGUGGGAACGUGCCCUUUGGUACGGAAUAACUCAGGGAAACUUGAGCUAAUACCGUAUGUGCCCUUCGGGGGAAAGAUUUAUCGCCAUUGGAGCGGCCCGCGUCUGAUUAGCUAGUUGGUGAGGUAAUGGCUCACCAAGGCUACGAUCAGUAGCUGGUCUGAGAGGAUGACCAGCCACAUUGGGACUGAGACACGGCCCAAACUCCUACGGGAGGCAGCAGUGGGGAAUCUUGCGGAAUGGGCGAAAGCGUGACGCAGCCAUGCCGCGUGGAUGAUGAAGGUCUUAGGAUUGUAAAAUCCUUUCACCGGUGAAGAUAAUGACUGUAGCCGGAGAAGAAGCCCCGGCUAACUUCGUGCCAGCCGCCGCCGUACCAC
rnacentral:rRNA from 1 species